rnacentral:rRNA from 1 species
GUCUACGGCCAUACCACCCUGAACACACCCAAUCUGUUUCUAUCUCGGAAGCUAAGCAGGGUCGGGCCUGGUUAGUACGUGGAUGGGAGAAAUACCUCCCCCAUCUAUAGGAGUGGGUUCUAUUAAUA